rnacentral:misc_RNA from 1 species
GUAUAUAUUACAUAGGUACAACAUUCUGUUAACAUACAUUGGGGUAAAUGAAGCAACAUAGACCUAAAAGGUCUACAAAAAGUGCACAGGUGGAGGUAUAAAGAUGACAAGGCGUGCACAUGCUCCCUAGAGAACCAGCAACAACCCAUCAGGUUUAUUUCAAUAAUGAUCCUUCCGCAGGUUCACCUACGGAAA